rnacentral:misc_RNA from 1 species
UCGUAACAAGGUUUCCGUAGGUGAACCUGCGGAAGGAUCAUUAAAGAUUAUGAAUGAAUAGAUUACUGGGGGAAUCGUCUGAACAAGGCCUGCGCUUAAUUGCGCGGCCAGUUCUUGAUUCUCUGCUAUCAGUUUUCUAUUUCUCAUCCUAAACACAAUGGAGUUUUUUCUCUAUGAACUACUUCCCUGGAGAGCUCGUCUCUCCAGUGGACAUAAACACAAACAAUAUUUUGUAUUAUGAAAAACUAUUAUACUAUAAAAUUUAAUAUUCAAAACUUUCAACAACGGAUCUCUUGGUUCUCGCAUCGAUGAAGAACGCAGCGAAUUGCGAUAUGUAUUGUGAAUUGCAGAUUUUCGUGAAUCAUCAAAUCUUUGAACGCACAUUGCGCCCUCUGGUAUUCCAGGGGGCAUGCCUGUUUGAGCGUCAUUUCUCUCUCAAACCUUUGGGUUUGGUAGUGAGUGAUACUCGUCUCGGGUUAACUUGAAAGUGGCUAGCCGUUGCCAUCUGCGUGAGCAGGGCUGCGUGUCAAGUCUAUGGACUCGACUCUUGCACAUCUACGUCUUAGGUUUGCGCCAAUUCGUGGUAAGCUUGGGUCAUAGAGACUCAUAGGUGUUAUAAAGACUCGCUGGUGUUUGUCUCCUUGAGGCAUACGGCUUUAACCAAAACUCUCAAAGUUUGACCUCAAAUCAGGUAGGAGUACCCGCUGAACUUAAGCAUAUCAAUAA